rnacentral:snRNA from 1 species
GUGCUCGCUUCGGCAGCACAUAUACUAAAAUUGGAACGAUACAGAGAAGAUUAACAUGGCCCCUGCACAAGGAUGACAUGCAAAUAAAACCUUUUAU